GAGUUUGAUCGUGGCUCAGGAUGAACGCUGGCGGCGUGCCUAAUACAUGCAAGUCGAGCGAACAGACGAGGAGCUUGCUCCUCUGACGUUAGCGGCGGACGGGUGAGUAACACGUGGAUAACCUACCUAUAAGACUGGGAUAACUUCGGGAAACCGGAGCUAAUACCGAAUAAUAUAUUGAACCGCAUGGUUCAAUAGUGAAAAACGGUUUUGCUGUCACUUAUAGAUGGAUCCGCGCCGCAUUAGCUAGUUGGUAGGGUAACGGCUUACCAAGGCGACGAUGCGUAGCCGACCUGAGAGGGUGAUCGGCCACACUGGAACUGAGACACGGUCCAGACUCCUACGGGAGGCAGCAGUAGGGAAUCUUCCGCAAUGGGCGAAAGCCUGACGGAGCAACGCCGCGUGAGUGAUGAAGGUCUUCGGAUCGUAAAACUCUGUUAUUAGGGAAGAACAAAUGUGUAAGUAACUAUGCACGUCUUGACGGUACCUAAUCAGAAAGCACGGCUAACUACGUGCCAGCA
rnacentral:rRNA from 1 species